CUUACCUAGUAGUGGGGGAUAACAUUCGGAAACGGAUGCUAAUACCGCAUAAUUCCCACGGGGGAAAGCCAGGGGCUCUUCGGACCUUGCGCUAUUAGAUGAGCCUAUGUCGGAUUAGCUAGUUGGUGGGGUAAGAGCCUACCAAGGCGACGAUCCGUAGCUGGUUUGAGAGGAUGAUCAGCCACACUGGGACUGAGACACGGCCCAGACUCCUACGGGAGGCAGCAGUGGGGAAUAUUGGACAAUGGGGGCAACCCUGAUCCAGCCAUGCCGCGUGUGUGAAGAAGGCCCUAGGGUUGUAAAGCACUUUCAUUGAGGAGGAAGGCCAUUUGGUUAAUACCCAAGUGGAUUGACGUUACUCAAAGAAGAAGGACCGGCUAACUCCGUGCCAGCAGCCGCGGUAAUACGGAGGGUCCGAGCGUUAAUCGGAAUUACUGGGCGUAAAGCGCGCGUAGGCGGUUAGUUAAGCGAGAUGUGAAAUACCUGGGCUCAACCUGGGAAUUGCGUUUCGAACUGGCUAACUAGAGUGCAGUAGAGGGUGGUGGAAUUUCCAGUGUAGCGGUGAAAUGCGUAGAGAUUGGAAGGAACAUCAGUGGCGAAGGCGACUGCCUG
rnacentral:rRNA from 1 species